rnacentral:lncRNA from 1 species
CAGAACUGAAGCUACUCUGCAGGCAGACUCAUUAUGACAUAAUCCUUCAUUAAUCUCAUUCUCUAUUAAUAGAUCAUGCAGAAGUUUUGCUUUAGUUGAUCAUCUUCAUCAAGGAGCCAUGGAAAAGUAUUACCGGUCUGGCUCAUUGGCUCAGCCUUACCACCUUGCCGGGCACCAGGGCCUGCCUUCUGCUUUCCUUGACUGUAACCACGCACCAAGCCUUUGACUUACCUUUGUUGAUAAACCCAAGAUCUCAUUGGAAGGUAGAGUUUAUGAACAUCAGGAGGAGAUUCUAAUGGUAUUUCAUCUUUAGUCCACAGAGGUUGAAUAUUCCAAAAAUAUUACUAUCAGUGGGGAGAUUAUUUAAUUAUUUGGCUAAGUAAUAUGUAUGUUUCCCUAGAGGAUAGCUGAGAACACUUUUUUGUGGUUGGCAGGUGAUUAUUCCUAUAGGUAUGUGCUCAUAAUAUUGAGUCAUUAACAGAGGUUGUGCCUUAUUGGAACUGACUUAUAGCCCCAGAUUGAUCCCAGAUAAUA